rnacentral:rRNA from 1 species
GACGAACGCUGGCGGCGUGCUUAACACAUGCAAGUCGAACGGAAAGGCCCUGCUUUUGUGGGGUGCUCGAGUGGCGAACGGGUGAGUAACACGUGAGUAACCUGCCCUUGACUUUGGGAUAACUUCAGGAAACUGGGGCUAAUACCGGAUAGGAGCUCCUGCUGCAUGGUGGGGGUUGGAAAGUUUCGGCGGUUGGGGAUGGACUCGCGGCUUAUCAGCUUGUUGGUGGGGUAGUGGCUUACCAAGGCUUUGACGGGUAGCCGGCCUGAGAGGGUGACCGGCCACAUUAGGACUGAGAUACGGCCCAGACUCCUACGGGAGGCAGCAGUGGGGAAUAUUGCACGAUGGGCGGAAGCCUGAUGCAGCAACGCCGCGUGCGGGAUGACGGCCUUCGGGUUGUAAACCGCUUUCGCCUGUGACGAAGCGUGAGUGACGGUAAUGGGUAAAGAAGCACCGGCUAACUACGUG